rnacentral:rRNA from 1 species
UACAGAGGGUGCGAGCGUUAAUCGGAAUUACUGGGCGUAAAGCGCAUGUAGGUGGGAUAGUAAGUUUGAUGUGAAAGCCCCGGGCUUAACCUGGGAAUGGCGUUGAAUACUGUUAUUCUAGAGUUUGAUAGAGGGUCGUGGAAUUUCCGGUGUAGCGGUGAAAUGCGUAGAGAUCGGAAAGAACACCAGUGGCGAAGGCGGCGACCUGGAUCGAAACUGACACUGAGAUGCGAAAGCGUGGGGAGCAAACAGG